GACGAACGCUGGCGGCGUGCUUAACACAUGCAAGUCGAACGGAAAGGCCCUGCUUUUGUGGGGUGCUCGAGUGGCGAACGGGUGAGUAACACGUGAGUAACCUGCCCUUGACUUUGGGAUAACUUCAGGAAACUGGGGCUAAUACCGGAUAGGAGCUCCUGCUGCAUGGUGGGGGUUGGAAAGUUUCGGCGGUUGGGGAUGGACUCGCGGCUUAUCAGCUUGUUGGUGGGGUAGUGGCUUACCAAGGCUUUGACGGGUAGCCGGCCUGAGAGGGUGACCGGCCACAUGGGGACUGGGAUACGGCCCAGACUCCUACGGGGGGCAGCAGGGGGGAAUAUGGCACAAUGGGCGGAAGCCUGAGGCAGCAACGCCGCGGGCGGGAUGACGGCCUUCGGGUGGUAAACCGCUUUCGCCUGUGACGAAGCGUGAGUGACGGUAAUGGGGAAAGAAGCACCGGCUAACUACGU
rnacentral:rRNA from 1 species